rnacentral:rRNA from 1 species
AUGCCAAUGGAAAUCAUGGAGCUGGAUACGCAAGGAAAUGCCGGCAAUGGCAUCUCGCCCAGCUGGAUGGAGAAGGUGAAGCUGAAAAUCCUCCGGGAAGCUGAGGGCGUUAGCCUGAGCAUCCCUCCAUACUUCUCAAGGUUCGAUGCCAUCGGUAACACAGAUUACCCAUCCAUUUUCAAGCCUCGCCCUAAGCCAACCCAGCAACCCCAGAAUCACACCGGGACCUCAGCCAGCAGAGAGCCUGCUCAGUCGAUGGGCCGCAGCAUCAUGGUCGCCGCCGUCGGGCCGUACCACGGUCCAUCGGACUUGGCAUGUGUACAGCCCCAGCCGCCUCUCAUCGCCCAUGCCAAGAAGUGUGCCAUCGUCAAGUUCCUUGCCGGUGAAGAUUUCAACCUCGACACGGCCGGCUUCCUUGGUUGGGCUCGGCAGCAGGAAGCCCGAGUUCGCAGCUGCUACGAGCGCGACUCGUUUACCAUGGGGUCCGAGGAGCUCGCGGAGAUGCUUCUGCUCGACGGUUGCCUGCUUCUCUUCGCCGUCUUCCUUCUCAGGUCGAGCGUGCGCGAGGACCAGCGUCCGGCGCAGCUGACCCGUGAUGCCAAGCACAGGAAGGUGUUCGUGUACUUGUCAGCGGACAUGUGCCUGCACAUGAAACAGACCAGGCUGGACCUACUGAUGCUGGGAAACCAGAUCCCCUUCUUUGUGCUCACCGAGCUUCACAGGCUAUUGAGAAAUACCUUCUUCCAUGGAAUCCAGUACAGCAUAGAAGAACUGGCUCUCUCCUGUUUCGACGACAUCCACCCAACCCGCAGUGGAUUCAUCAAACAAGACGAAGCAGCAGGAACCACGGUAGUUCAUCACCUCCUGCACCUUUUCCACUGCUCCCGAGUGCCCAAAGGUAACCACGGGCUCGACGAUACUUCGUUCCUGCGCCGGGAGCCAGACUCGCACCUCCCCUGCGCGACCUGGCUCGAGGAGUCCCACACCAGUUUCAGCAAGCAGGCCGCUCCAGGUAGCAGCAGCUCGUUGCACAUCGUCUUCCAGAGAAAGAUGUUUCGGGUGGGAGGAGUGAUGCACGUCCCUGCCCAGCACAUCCACGGCUACAGCGAGUCUGUCUUCCGCAACCUCAUCGCGUUCGAGCAGAGCCAUCAGAGGUGCGGCCUCGGCGUCACCGCCUACUCCAUGUGCAUGGCUCGGCUGCUGCAGACCGAGGACGACGCCAAACUGCUGAGGAAGAGCGGCAUCCUAGCGCACACUCACAAGACCGACAAGGAGAUCGUCGACUUGUUCAGUGAGCUCUCAGAUGAGUACAGGAACACGUUUUAUUCCAGAGAUCUUCUUGAUCUCUGCAAGGACGUGGCAGCAUAUCAUCACAGCACAGCCGCUAAGGCCGUCAAAUGGGUCGGGCAGCAGUGCUUCCCAAGGCAAUCUGUCACCUUCUUCGUCAUCUUUGGCGCUUUGAUCUCCGUUGCCACACUCGUCAACACCGGGUACUCCGUCUAUAGGUUCUAUCAUCCGGUCAAGUGA